AUGGGUGAAGGUGAUUGCAGCUCUCAAAGAAUAAGUCAAAUAUCUUCUUUAUUUGCUCAUUAUGUAUCUAAUGAUUUAGAAAGUGAAGAAGUUAUUGUGAAAACUAUGGAAGAGUUAGUGGAAUCUAUAGAGGUUGGUAGUUGUUGGAUUCUUGCUACCAUUAUUGCAAUUGAGAAUGUAAAAAAUGUCCCAAAAAAGUUCAAAAUAAAAGUUAGAGUUAUUGAUGGUACUGGUAGUGCUUCUUUUUUGUUGUGGGAUCGUGAAUGUUUACAGAUACUUGGUAAAACUGCUAAUGACUUGAACGAUGAGUUGGUGAAGGAUUAUGAUGAGCUUUCUCGACUUGAAAACAAUAAUAUUGUUGAGCUAAAGGACUCUAUCACUAAAAAUGGCUUCAAUUUUCCAAAUGUAAUUCUUGGAAAACGAUCUAAUCCAGUUUUUGUUGAAGAUGAUGGUAAUGAAAAUCCUAUAAAUUCUGAUGUUGCAAGGAGUGGUGAUUGCGAAUAUGAUGGGGAUGAAGUGGAAUGCGAUGACUUCUCAACUAUGGACUAUUGGGAUAUCGGAGAUCCUUGCAAUAAAUGUGAAUUUUGUGGUGCAUUAUUUUGGUAUGAUGAAAGGGUUAGAAAGGAUUACAAUUCAUCAAAACCAAAAUUCUCUUUGUGUUGUAUGUAAGGGAAAGUGGAGCUUCCAAUGAUGCAAGACCCUCCUCAAAUUCUUAAGUAUCUACUUUAUGGUGUAGACGACAAAAGCAAGCAUUUUCUUGAAAAUAUUCGGUCAUACAACAGCAUGUUUUCUUGUACAUCCAUGGGAGGAAAGAUCGAUUCAAGUGUAAAUCGUGGAAGAGGGCCUCCUGUAUUUAGGUUACAUGGUCAAAAUUACCACAAGAUUGGAAGUUUAUUGCCACCAGAAGGUUCACUGCUAAAGUUUGCUCAAUUCCAAAAUUUUGACAUAAAAAAACUGCACACUGAGAUUGUUCAUGACUUGAAGAUGAUGCUUGAUGAGCAUAAUGUUUUAGUUAAGUCAUUUAGAAUGGUAAGGGAUACAAUUCGACAACAUGACUCCUCAAAUUUGAAGCUCAGAUUCAUUGGAAGGAGAGAAGGAAACAGAAGGAUGUACAAUUUACCAAUUGUAUUAGAAGUUGCAGCUUUGGUAGUUGGCGACUUUGAAACAUUUCCGGCUGAUAGAGACAUUAUAGUUGAAACUCAAACUAGAGAGUUGAAACGAAUCAAUGAAUUAAAUGCUUCAUAUCUUGGACUUCAAUACCCUUUGCUUUUUCCAUAUGGCCAGGAUGGAUAUCGAAAGGAUGUUCCACUAAAGCAGUCAGACACAAAAUCAUCUGCUAGAAGAAAAAGGUUAAGCAUGAGAGAAUUCUUUGCCUAUAGAUUGCAAGAAAGAGAUAAUGAGUCCCCAGAUAUUUUAUUCUCAAAAAGAUUGUUCCAGCAGUUUUUAGUUGAUGCAUAUACGAUGGUUGAAUCAUCACGUCUAUCAUAUAUAUGUACCCAUAAAAAAGAAUUGAGGUCUGAGAUGUACAGAGGUUUGGCAGAAGCAAUUUUAAAAGGAGGAAUAGAUGCUUCUUCACAAGGAAAAUGUUUUAUAUUGCCUUCUUCUUUUACAGGUGGGGCACGAUACAUGAUUCAAAAUUACCAAGAUGCAAUGGCAAUUUGUAAAUGGGCCGGAUACCCUGAGCUUUUUAUCACACUUACAUGUAAUCCAAAAUGGCCAGAGGUUGUUCGUUUUGUGGAAAGUAGAGGUUUAAGACCUGAAGACCGGGCAUAUAUACUUUGUAGGAUAUUUAAAGUCAAGCUAGAUCAGUUGGUAAAAGAUCUUAGACAAAACAAGAUAUUUGGAAAAGCCAAAGCAGUAAUAUACACCGUUGAGUUCCAAAAACGUGGAUUGCCACAUGCACAUAUACUACUUUUUUUUAUAUCAAGAAGACAAAUGUCCAACAGAUGAAGAUAUUGAUAAGAUCAUUUCAGCUGAAAUUCCCGAUGAAGUAAAUGAUCCAGAAUACUAUGCUGCAAUUAAAAAUUUAAUGAUGCAUGGACCAUGCGGCAACUCAAGAAAAAAUUCUCUAUGUAUGUUGGAUGGAAGAUGUACAAAAAAUUUCCUCAAAAGGUAUGUUGAUUGCAUUACAGUUGAUGAAGAUGGAUAUCCAAUUUAUAGAAGGAGAGACAACGGAAGAACAAUUGAAAAGAAUGGAACUGCCUUGAAUAAUAGAUAUGUCGUUCCGCACAAUCGUUACUUACUUUUGAAGUAUGGUGCUCAUAUGAAUGUUGAAUGGUGUAAUCAGUCAAGAUCUAUUAAGUAUCUUUUUAAAUAUGUCAAUAAAGGACAUGAUCGGGUCACCGUAACUUUUUAUGGAAGCGCUAAUGACAGUAAUGUGCAUGGUCACAUGGAUGAAAUAAAUAUGUACUAUGAUUGUAGGUAUAUUUCACCAUGCGAGGCAGCUUGGAGAAUUUUUGGUUUUGAUAUUCAUUAUAGAGAUCCUCCAGUUGAGUGAUUGAAUUUCCAUCUUCCCAAUGAGCAAAAUAUAGUAUUUCUAGAUAGUGAUUUGAUUAAUGCUAUCAUGAAUCGAAAUACCGUGAGCAAAUCGAUGUUUUCAGCUUGGAUGGAUGCAAAUAAAAGAUAUGGACCAAGAAAUUUUGAAGACAUAAUGAAUAUAAAUGGCAUUCAAUAUAAUUCUUUGAGAGAUGCUUGCUAUGCACUUGGUUUGUUAGAUGAUGAUAAAGAAUAUGUUGAUGGUAUAGCUGAAGUAAGCCAUUGAGGAUCUGCAUAUUAUUUAAGAAAUCUAUUUGCAACUUUGUUGCUGUCAGAUUCAUUAACGAAGCCUGAAUUUGUUUGGGAACAAAGUUGGCGGUAUCUAUCAGAUGAUAUACUCUAUAGACAACGCAACAUCCUCCAUCAUCAAGAUUUGCAUCUGACUGAUGAAGAGAUAAAAAAUUACACUCUUAUAGAGAUUGAGGAGAUCUUACGGAGCAAUGGAAAAAGUCUUCGUGACUUUCUAAUGAUGCAUUUCCCUGGUACCAUUGAUGUUUUUUGCCGCCAAAAUAGGCUUAUACAGGAUGAGCUACGUUAUGAUAGAAUUGCUUUGGCUGAAGACCAUAAUAAGUUUGUAUCAAAUCUCACAGCUGAACAAAAAAGUGUUUAUGAAACAAUUAUGGGUGCUGUUGAAGGUGUCAAACCCAGUAUAUUCUUUAUGUAUGGAUAUGGAGGUACUGGGAAAACUUUUAUCUGGAAAACUCUAUCAGCAGCAUUGAGAUCGAAAGGGAAAAUUGUGUUGAUUGUAGCAUCGAGUGGUAUAGCAUCUCUUCUUCUGCCAUGAGGUAGGACAGCACAUUCGAGGUUUGCUAUAUCUCUUGCUCCAAAUGAAGAUUCAACUUGCAACAUUAAACAAGAUAGUCCACCUGCUGAGUUGAUUGUCAAAACCGAACUUAUCAUUUGGGAUGGAGCACCUAUGAUGAAUAGAUAUUGUUUUGAAGUGUUGGACAUGACUAUGAGAGAUAUUUUAAGAUUUAGCAAUCCACUAAGUUUGGAGCAACCUUUUGGAGGUAAAACUGUCAUGUUUGGAGGAGAUUUCAGACAAAUUUUGUCGGUUAUCCCAAAAGGAUGUAGGCAAGACAUUGUUCUUGCAACUUUAAACUCAUCAUAUUUGUGGAAAUAUUGUAAAGUUUUGAAGUUGACAAAGAACAUGAGACUUCAAAGUAUUGACUCGGACAUUGAUAAGGAUGAAUUGAAGGCUUUUUCAGAAUGGAUAUCAAGUAUUGGAGAUGGAACAAUUGGCGGUCUGAAUGAUGGUCAUGCAAUGAUUGAUAUACCUGAUGAUCUUUUGAUAAAGGAUACAGAAGAUUCAGCUACUGAGGAAAAUACAUAUUCAAGUUCUAAUGCAACUUGCAGAUCUGAUUCGAACAUUGAUCUUAUAGGAGAUCUUCAUACAUUUGAAUUUUUGAAUGCUAUAAAAUGCUCCAGGGUGCCUAAUCAUCAGUUGAAAUUGAAGGUCGAUGUCCUUGUUAUGCUAUUAAGAAAUGUCGAUCAUUCUUUGGGGUUGUGCAAUGGGACUAGAUUGAUCAUUACAAGGCUUGGCAAUCAUGUUCUCGAAGGAAAAGUUAUUUCAGGAAGUAAUGCUGGGUUUAAAGUUUUUAUUCCAAGAAUAACUUUAACUCCAUCGGACCCAAGGUUGCGUUUUAAGUUUAAACGAAGACAAUAUCCUUUGCUUGUAUCAUAUUCUAUGACUAUUAAUGAGAGCCAAGGUCAAUCUCUUUCGCAUGUCGGACUUUUUCAUAAAAGACCAGUUUUUAGUCAUGGACAGUUAUAUAUUGCAGUCUCCAGAGUUACAAAUAGGAAAUGAUUGAAGAUAUUAAUUUGUUAUAAAGAUGGAAAACCUACCAAUUCAACCACUAAUGUGGUCUUUAAAGAAGUUUUUGAAAAUUUAGAUUAA